UCAAUCUUGUCUAUAAUAACCUUGCUCUACACAGAUCAUUAUCCUUUUGAGUGUUCACCUCCUCUGCUUGCUGGUUGGUUCUAGCCUGCUGUUAGGGUACUGCAUCUCGUCUCAGCGGCCACCUGCGCUCAAUACAAGAAAACAACUUGUCGGCUCAUACCUGGCUAAGGGCAGUGCAGUAGCGUUCACUUUGCUGUGUCUGAUACUGUCCCUCUAUAUCGUCUUGUUGUCGUGGAGAGGCCUCCAGCGCUACGGGAGUACGACAGCCCAUGUUCGUGGGUAUGACCGUGUCUCACAGGAACCAGAUGGAGACACUGGGCCUUUACUGGAGCUCGUGGACUCAGUGUGAUGGUCCAUCUGUUCGUCCGUCCGACCAUCCAUCCCAUCUCAAGUUAUUGUCUUUGCACAUUUUGUGUUUUUCAAUAAGUCACUUUCUAACAUUGUGCACAUAAUACAGUAAUAUCAUAAUUAAGUCGAAUCUAGAGAAUUUAACAACCUAAAGACCCUUCUCACCCAGGUUGCAGUCUGUUUGAACUACUCCCCUCCGGACGGCGUUAUAGAGCUCGGUACGCCAAAACCAGCAGACACAGAGACAGCUUCUUCCCCCAGGCUGUUGCUCUGGUGAACUCACACCACUCUUAGAGUCUCAGAGUCAUUACUGUGCAAUUACAUCCUGCUCGCCACACCUUUUUUUGAAUUUGUCUACACUGUUUGUACUAUGUGUCCUCUCUGCAUCCAUUGCAGCCUGGUCAUCCUGGAAGAGGGACCUUCCCAUCUGUGGUCUCUUCUCAAGGUUUCUCAUUUCCCCUAGCUGGAGUUUUGAGUUUUUCCUUGCCCUUUUGGGAGUUUAAGAUCAGGGGAUGUUUGAGAAUAUUUGCCAUUUUUCACAUGCCCUUAGUGUUGUUGGUCACCUAAAUGUUGAACAGAGAGUGUGAUUUACCGAAGUCAAAUUCCUUGUUUGGCACGCUCAAACAUGGCGAAUAAAUAACUCUUGAAUCUUGAA